UUCAGGAAGCGUGUUCUGUUUGUAGUUCAAAUCCAUGAAAUUCAAUAGGCCAAAGCAUAACGAAGGCUACGCUACUUCACUAAGCUAGUCGAAGAAAUCUUCAACUAGCCAUCUAUCAAAGUACCCGACGCAUCAGAUAUUUCUAACUGAGACUAAUUUAGCAAUUCCUGAAGCAAAACUACUGCACUACUUUUUCAGAGAAUACUACAUCUACAACUGCUAAUAAAUUACCUCUACCAAAUGUUAACACUAAGCAAAUUGGCUACAUUGAUAAAGUUUCAAAAUGAAAAAAUGGAUUUAUUGAUUAAUGGCAACACCAUAACUUAAGCAGUAGCAGCAGGUACACGUGCUAAAAAUUGUGUUAGUGUAUAUGCAAUAAUACAACUUAAAUAUUAAACUUACUGUAGAUAGCUUGCUUAGAGUGUUGGUCCACUUUUUGGAUGACACCGCGUUCAGCCAAGUCGCGAAUGGCAAUACGAGCAAGAGAUCCGUUGAUCUUCAUGCGGUCAACAAGGACUGAAACCGAGAUGAACUUGAAGGCAGGAACCUCCUUGUUGAUACGGUC